rnacentral:rRNA from 1 species
GUAAGGAAUAUUGGUCAAUGGGGGCAACCCUGAACCAGCCAUGCCGCGUGAAGGAUGAAGGCGUUAUGCGUUGUAAACUUCUUUCGUAUGGGAAGAAUGACAGGGAUUUAUCCUUGGAGAGACGGUACCAUACGAAUAAGCACCGGCUAACUCCGUGCCAGCAGCCGCGGUACUACGGCGGGUGCGAGCGUUGUCCGGAUUUAUUGGGUUUACAGGGUGCGUAGGCUGGAAGGUCAGUCAGCGGUGAAAAGCUGUCGCUUAACGAUAGUCGUGCCGCAGAUACUUCCUUUCUUGGAUGAGGAGGAGGCCACUGGAGCGGAUGGUGUAGCGGUGAAAUGCAUAGAUAUCAUCCAGAACACCGAUUGCGAAGGCAGGUGGCUGUACCUUAAUCGACGCUGAUGCACGAAAGCAUGGGGAGCAAACAGGAUUAGAAACCCCGGUAGUCC